rnacentral:siRNA from 1 species
UGCCAAGGAUUUGCUGAGCUUCCA